GACGAACGCUGGCGGCGUGCCUAAUACAUGCAAGUCGAACGGAGUGGCGCACGGGUGAGUAAUGUAUAGCUAAUCUGCCCUACACUAGAGGACAACAGUUGGCAACGGCUGCUAAUACUCUAUAGUGUAGGAUGAGGCUAUAUUGUAUCAGCUAGUUGGUGAGUGAAUGGCUCACCAAGGCUAUGACGCAUAACUGGUCAGAGAGGAGGAGCAGGCAUACUGGAACUGAGACACGGUCCAGACUACUACGGGAGGCAGCAGUAGGGAAUAUUGCUCAAUGGGGGAAACCAUGAAGCAGCAACGCGGCGUGGAGGAUGACACUUUUCGGAGAGUAAACUCCUUUUGUUAGGGAAGCGGUACCUAACGAAUAAGCACCGGCUAACUCCGUGCCAGCAGCCGCGGUAAUU
rnacentral:rRNA from 1 species